CGAGCAUCCAGGAGGAGAAUUUCGAUCGAAGUACAGAUUUUUCUUGAAUUCGAGAACAAUGAUGUUAAUACCAGCUGAUAAAAGAGGAAUAGUGUAAGUGCCCGAUGGGUACGAACGUCAUCUUGUGACUGCAUCACCUUUGUUUGGCUUAAGUACAAGAGAAUUGCAGCACCGAAGACUUAACAUGUACAUCGAUUUGAAUAAUCUGUAUCCUCAAAAGGCAACUCGAAUAC